rfam:Gallus gallus breed Red Jungle fowl, inbred line TCD001 Contig6175.1, whole genome shotgun sequence. [11-NOV-2016]
CGCCUUCAGGUCAGGUACGUGGCGACCGCUGAUUUAGCAUAUUAUCCGCGGCAGGGUACCGACCUAUCUAGUAUCGGAAGAGAGCGCCGAACGCACCCGUCGGAAGGCGUCGGACGGCGGUUGGGUGAGGAGCCGGACGGGGGGGGGGGCCCCGGCGGCGCCGGGCCCGGGGGGCUUUCCCGAGUCGGUUGCCUUGGGAAAGCAGAAAGCGGGUGGUAAAAUUAAAGCUAAAAUACCGCACGAGACCGAUAGCCAACAAGUACCGGUAAGGGAAAGUUGAAAGAACUUUGAAGAGAGAGUUCAAGAGGGGCGGUGAAACCGUUAAGAGGUAAACGGGUGGGGUCCGCGCAGUCGGCCCCGGAGGAUUCAACCCGGCGGGCCAAGGUCCGGCCGGCGCGGGCGCCGGUCGGAUCCCGCCUCCGCCUCCCCUCCGUCCCCUCCCUUCGCCGGGGGGGGCGGGCCCAGGGGGGCGGGCGGGCCGGGGACCGCCGCCCGGCCGGCGUCCGGCCCCCGGUCGGGCGCAUUUCCUCCGCGGCGGUGCGCCGCGACCCCGGGCCCCGGGGACGGCUGGGAAGGGCUGCCGGCGGGGCAGGUGGCCCGCGCCCGCGCGAGCGGCCGCCGGGUGUUAUAGCCGCCGGGCCCGGAUCCGUCGCCGAAUCCCGGGGGCCGAGGGAGAAGGACGCCGCCGCCGCGCCCCUCCCCCGGAGGGGGGCGGCCCCGGAGCCCCCCCGCCGCCCGCCGGCCGGCCGCGCCCGCGCGCGCGUCCCGCGCCCCGCCGCGCCGCCGCUCGCUCCUCCUCCCGUCCCGCCCCGGUCCGUCCGGGCGCGGGGGCGGGGGGUCGGUGCCGGCGCGCGGCCGGCGCGGCGCCGCCGUGGGCGCGCGCCUCCAGCCCGGCGCGGGCGAGGCGCGGGGCGCCCGGGACCUUCCCCUCUGUUCGGGCCCCCUCCGUUCCCGCGGGGCGGCCCGUCGGGACGGGCCCGCCGCCCCGCGCCGCUGUCCGACCGGCGGACUGCGCCAUGCGCCCCGACCGCCGGCGCCGCCGGCCGGCUCGGGCCAGCAGGCCCCGGUCCGCGCGGACUCGGCCCCCCCGACCCGUCUUGAAACACGGACCAAGAGUCCUAGCACGCGCGCGAGUCCGGCGGCUCGCGCGGAAAGCCCGCGGCGCAAUGAAGGUGCCGGCGCGCGCCGGCUGGUGGGAUCCGGGCGGCGGAUGCCCGGCCCGUCUCGCCGUCGCGGGAGGUGGAGCAUGCCGCAGGUUGGUGUAUGCCUGGCAGGCGAGCCAGAGGAACUCGGUGGGGUCGAGCGUCCGACUGCAAAUGGUCGUCGAGGUAUAGGGGCGAAAGACUACGCCAUCUGUGCCCUCCGGGUUCCUCAGGUAGUGCGCCGGGCGGCGGUGCAGUUUUACCCGUAAGCGAAUGAUAGGGGCCGAAACGACUCAACUUCUCACUUCAUGUCGCCUCGCUGGGUGGGGGGCGUGAUGCGGCGCUCAGUGGCCACUUUUGGUAAGCAGACUGGCGCUGCGGGAUGACCGAACGCCGGGUUAAGCGCCGAUGCCGACGCUAUCAGAGCCAGAAGAGUUGGUUGAUAGACGGCGGUGGCUGGAAGUCGGACCCGCUAGGGUGUGUACAACUCACCUGCCGAAUCAACAGCCUGAAAAUGGAUGGCGCUGGAGCGUCGGGCCCUACCCGCGUCGCCGGCGGUGCGGGCCGCGGGGCUCGCCGCGACGAGUAGGGGGCCGCUGCGGUGGCCUGGAAGCUGGGGCGCGGCCCGGGUGGAGCCGCCGCAGGUGCAGAUCUUGGUGGUAGUAGCAACUAUUCAAACGAGAGCUUUGAAGGCCGAAGUGGAGCAGGGUUCCAUGUGAACAGCAGUUGAACAUGGGUCAGUCGGUCUAAGCGAUAGGCGAGCGCCGUUCCGAAGGGACGGGCGAGGGCCUCCGUUGCCCUCAGCCGAUCGAAAGGGAUCGGGUUCCAGAUCCCCGAAUCCGGACGGCGGAGACGGGCGCCGCGAGGCCCAGUGCGGUAACGCAGCGAUCCCGGAGAAGCCGCGGGGCCCCGGGAGAGUUCUCUUUUCUUUGUGAAGGGCCGGGCGCCUGGAACGGGUUCGCCCGAGAGAGGGGCCCGCGCCUUGGAAAGCGUCGCGGUUCCGGCGGCGUCCGGUGGAGCUCUCGCUGGCCCGUGAAAAUCCGGGGGAGAGGGUGUAAAUCUCGCGCCGGGCCGUACCCAUAUCCGCAGCAGGUCUCCAAGGUGAACAGCCUCUGGCAUGUUGGACCAAUGUAGGUAAGGGAAGUCGGCAAGCCGGAUCCGUAACUUCGGGAUAAGGAUUGGCUCUAAGGGCUGGGUCGGUCGGGCUGGGGCGCGAAGCGGGGCUGGGCGCCGCGCCGCGGCUGGACGAGGCGCCGCCCGCCCCGCCCCCCUUUCCCCGCUCCCGCUCGCCGGGGCGCCGGGGGGGGGGUCAGCGGGCGGCGCGGCGGCGGCGACUCUGGACGCGCGCCGGGGCCCUUCCCGUGGAUCGCCCAGCUGCGGCGGGCGCCGCUCGCCCCCUCCUUGCCCCUCCGCCCCCCCGCUCCCGGCGCCCCUCCGUCGGCCGUCGUCCCGGCCGCCCCCCCGUCCCGAGCGCCCUCCUCGGCGAGGGCGCGAGGGGCGGCGGCGGCGGCCGCGGGCGCGGCGGCGGGGGGGGGGGCCGCCGGGCGGCGCCGGGCGGGGCGGUCCGGGCGGGGGGGGUCUCCGGGCCGGCGCCCGCCUCGGCCGGCGCCUAGCAGCCGGCUUAGAACUGGUGCGGACCAGGGGAAUCCGACUGUUUAAUUAAAACAAAGCAUCGCGAAGGCCGCGGCGGGUGUUGACGCGAUGUGAUUUCUGCCCAGUGCUCUGAAUGUCAAAGUGAAGAAUUCAAUGAAGCGCGGUAAACGGCGGAGUAACUAUGACUCUCUUAAGGUAGCAAAUGCCUCGUCAUCUAAUUAGUGACGCGCAUGAAUGGAUGAACGAGAUUCCACUGUCCUACCUACUCUCCAGCGAAACCACAGCAAGGGAACGGGCUUGGCGAAUCAGCGGGGAAAGAAGACCCUGUUGAGCUUGACUCUAGUCUGGCGCUGUGAAGAGACAUGAGAGGGAGAUAAGGGGAGGCCCGCGGUCGCGCGACCGCGCGCGGCCGGCCGCCGGUGAAAUACACUACUCUGAUCGUUUUUUCACUUACCGGUGAGGCGGGGGGGCGAGCCCGAGGGCUCUCGCUUCUGGCGCCAAGCGCCCGGCGCGCGCCGGGCGCGACCCGCUCCGGGACAGCGUCAGGUGGGGAGUUUGACUGGGCGGUACACCUGUCAAAGCGUAACGCAGGUGUCCUAAGGCGAGCUCAGGGAGGCCAGAAACCUCCCGUGGAGCAGAAGGCAAAAGCUCGCUUGAUCUUGAUUUUCAGUACGAAUACAGACCGUGAAAGCGGGGGCCUCACGAUCUUCUGACUUUUUGGGUUUUAAGCAGGAGGUGUCAGAAAAGUUACCACAGGGGAUAACUGGCUUGUGGGGCCAGCGUUCUAGCGACGUCGCUUUUGAUCCUUCGUGUCGGCUCUUAUCAUUGUGAGCAGAUUCCAGCGUUGAUUGUUACCACUAAUAGGGAACGUGAGCUGGUUUGACCGUCGUGGACAGGUUAGUUUUACUCUGAUGAUGUGUUGUGCGCUAGUAAUCCUGCUCAGUACGAGGGAACCGCAGGUCAGACAUUUGGUGUAUGUGCUUGGCUGAGGAGCCCUGGAGCGAGGCUACCAUCUGGGGAUUGAUGAACGCCUCUAAGUCAGAAUCCCCCUAAACGUAGCGAUACCGCAGCGCGACUCGGGGGCUCGCGAGCCGUGGGUGCGUCGGUGCGGAGCGCCGCUCGGGUCGGGAGGAGCCGACAGAUUGGCGCCGCCUCCCCCCCCCCGCCGCAUGUUCGUGGGGUCUAAUCAUUCGUAGACGACCUGAUUCUGGGUCGGGGUUCGUACGUAGCAGGAGCAGCUCCCUCGCUGCGAUCUAUUGAGAGUCAGCCCUCGACACAAGCUUUUGU